rnacentral:rRNA from 1 species
GACGAACCGAGCGAACGUUGUUCGGAAUCACUGGGCUUAAAGGGCGCGUAGGCGGACUAUCAAGUCUGGGGUGAAAUCCCGCGGCUCAACCGUGGAACUGCCUCAGAUACUGACGGUCUCGAGGGAGGUAGGGGCAUGCGGAACUGUAGGUGGAGCGGUGAAAUGCGUUGAUAUCUACAGGAACUCCGGUGGCGAAAGCGGCGUGCUGGACCUCUUCUGACGCUGAGGCGCGAAAGCCAGGGGAGCAAACGGG